rnacentral:rRNA from 1 species
CGGGUGAGUAACGCGUGGGUAACCUGCCUUAUACAGGGGGAUAACAGUUAGAAAUGACUGCUAAUACCGCAUAAGCGCACAGCUUCGCAUGAAGCGGUGUGAAAAACUCUGGUGGUAUACGAUGGUUCCGCGUCUGAUUAGCUAGUUGGUGGGGUAAUGGCCUACCAAGGCAACGAUCAGUAGCCGGCCUGAGAGGGUGAACGGCCACAUUGGGACUGAGACACGGCCCAAACUCCUACGGAAGGCAGCAG